CUCCGGGCUGAUAACUUCCCAAUGAUCCUGUCUUCUCUACGGUCUUUGGGCUUUAAGUGUCCGGUAUAUUAACUGCGGAGAACUUACACAUCCUCGGAACCCUUCCAUGAUGUCCGAUGUUUAAUUUUGCGCAACAUAU
rnacentral:snoRNA from 1 species